rnacentral:rRNA from 1 species
CGCGUAGGCGGUCUCUUAAGUCAGAUGUGAAAGCCCGGGGCUUAACCCCGGAAGUGCAUUUGAAACUAAGGGACUUGAGUAUGGGAGAGGGAAGUGGAAUUCCUGGUGUAGCGGUGAAAUGCGUAGAUAUCAGGAGGAACACCGGUGGCGAAGGCGACUUCCUGGACCAAUACUGACGCUGAGGCGCGAAGGCGUGGGGAGCAAACAGGAUUAGAUACCCUGGUAGUCC